rnacentral:rRNA from 1 species
UCGGGAAUAUUGGGCAAUGGAGGAAACUCUGACCCAGCAAUACCGCGUGAAGGAUGAAGGUCUUCGGAUUGUAAACUUCUGUUAUAAAGGAAGAAUAAAAUGACGGUACUUUAUAAGUAAGCCCCGGCAAACUAUGUGCCAGCAGCCGCGGUGAUACAUAGGGGGCAAGCGUUGUCCGGAAUGACUGGGUGUAAAGGGUGUGUAGGUGGCUUAUUAAGUUGGAAGUGAAAGCCCGGGGCUUAACUCCGGAACUGCUUUCAAAACUGGUUGGCUUGAGUGUGGGAGAGGUUAGUGGAACUCCUA